rnacentral:tRNA from 1 species
GGCUCCAUAGUCAAGAGGUUUAAGACACUACCCUUUCACGGUAGUAGCACGGGUUCGAAUCCCGUUGGAGUCA